rnacentral:rRNA from 1 species
GCGGAUCCCCUUCGGGGGUGAAGCUUGUGGAACGAGCGGCGGACGGGUGAGUAACACGUGGGCAACCUGCCUGUAAGACCGGAAUAACCCCGGGAAACCGGGGCUAAUGCCGGGUAACACCUACCUUCGCAUGAAGGAAGGUUAAAAGAUGGCUUCUUGCUAUCACUUACAGAUGGGCCCGCGGCGCAUUAGCUAGUUGGUGAGGUAACAGCUCACCAAGGCGACGAUGCGUAGCCGACCUGAGAGGGUGAUCGGCCACACUGGGACUGAGACACGGCCCAGACUCCUACGGGAGGCAGCAGUAGGGAAUCUUCCGCAAUGGACGAAAGUCUGACGGAGCAACGCCGCGUGAACGAUGAAGGUCUUCGGAUCGUAAAGUUCUGUUGUUAGGGAAGAACAAGUACCGUGCGAAUAGAGCGGUACCUUGACGGUACCUAACGAGGAAGCCCCGGCUAACUACGUGCCAGCAGCCGCGGUAAUACGUAGGGGGCAAGCGUUGUCCGGAAUUAUUGGGCGUAAAGCGCGCGCAGGCGGUUUCUUAAGUCUGAUGUGAAAGCCCACGGCUCAACCGUGGAGGGUCAUUGGAAACUGGGGAACUUGAGGACAGAAGAGGAGAGUGGAAUUCCACGUGUAGCGGUGAAAUGCGUAGAUAUGUGGAGGAACACCAGUGGCGAAGGCGACUCUCUGGUCUGUUUCUGACGCUGAGGUGCGAAAGCGUGGGUAGCAAACAGGAUUAGAUACCCUGGUAGUCCACGCCGUAAACGAUGAGUGCUAGGUGGUUAAGGGGGCUUCCACCCCUUAGUGCUGAAGUUAACGCAUUAAGCACUCCGCCUGGGGGAGUACGGCCGCAAGGCUGAAACUCAAAGGAAUUGACGGGGGCCCGCACAAGCGGUGGAGCAUGUGGUUUAAUUCGAAGCAACGCGAAGAACCUUACCAGGUCUUGACAUCCUUGGACCACCCUAGAGAUAGGGUCUUCCCUUCGGGGACCAAGUGACAGGUGGUGCAUGGUUGUCGUCAGCUCGUGUCGUGAGAUGUUGGGUUAAGUCCCGCAACGAGCGCAACCCCUAAUCUUAGUUGCCAGCAUUCAGUUGGGCACUCUAAGGUGACUGCCGGUGACAAACCGGAGGAAGGCGGGGAUGACGUCAAUCAUCAUGCCCCUUAUGACCUGGGCU